AUUGAACGCUGGCGGCAGGCUUAACACAUGCAAGUCGAGCGGGGGAAGGUAGCUUGCCACCGGACCUAGCGGCGGACGGGUGAGUAAUGCUUAGGAAUCUGCCUAUUAGUGGGGGACAACAUCUCGAAAGGGAUGCUAAUACCGCAUACGUCCUACGGGAGAAAGCGGGGGAUCUUCGGACCUUGCGCUAAUAGAUGAGCCUAAGUCGGAUUAGCUAGUUGGUGGGGUAAGGGCCUACCAAGGCGACGAUCUGUAGCGGGUCUGAGAGGAUGAUCCGCCACACUGGGACUGAGACACGGCCCAGACUCCUACGGGAGGCAGCAGUGGGGAAUAUUGGACAAUGGGGGGAACCCUGAUCCAGCCAUGCCGCGUGUGUGAAGAAGGCCUUAUGGUUGUAAAGCACUUUAAGCGAGGAGGAGGCUACUUUAGUUAAUACCUAGAGAUAGUGGACGUUACUCGCAGAAUAAGCACCGGCUAACUCUGUGCCAGCCGCCGCAGUAA
rnacentral:rRNA from 1 species